UUCGGUUUUAUCGGUUCGGUUCAGAACCGAACCAUUUGCACACCCUAGGAUCAAUCAAUCAAAAUGUGGAAUACAAACCCCGGAUCUUUAAGUCCUACACUUUGUGGUUGCCGUGGGUCUGUUCUUGAUCUCUCUAUUACCAAUGAUAAUAGAUCUGUUAUUGCAGCCAGUAGCUCAAACAACUUGCAUGUAGGGGAUGCCAAUUCAGGUCUUGUCCGUCACACUCUCACAGGCCGUGUUGACAAAGUGUGUGCUGUGGAUG
rnacentral:misc_RNA from 1 species